UACGUAGGGUGCAAGCGUUGUCCGGAAUUAUUGGGCCUAAAGCAUCCGUAGCCGGUUUUACAAGUCCCCCGUUAAAUCCAGCUGCUUAACAGAUGGGCUGCGGAGGAUACUAUAAGACUAGGAGGCAGGAGAGGCAAGCGGUACUCAGUGGGUAGGGGUAAAAUCCGUUGAUCCAUUGAAGACCACCAGUGGCGAAGGCGGCUUGCCAGAAUGCGCUCGACGGUGAGGGAUGAAAGCUGGGGGAGCAAGCCGG
rnacentral:rRNA from 1 species